rnacentral:lncRNA from 1 species
CAUUCUUUUCAAUGCCUACAAAAAGGAGAUAUUUACCACCAACAAUGGCUACAAAUCCAUGCAGAAAAAACUUCGGAGUAAUUGGAAGAUUCAGAGCUUAAAAGAUGAAAUCACAUCUGAGAAGUUAAAUGGAGUGAAACUGUGGAUUACAGCUGGGCCAAGGGAAAAAUUUACUGCAGCUGAGGGAAAUUAGCCGAGCUGCAGGAAAGGCUGUGCCUGGGAUCAUUGAUGAGGAAAGCAGUGGAAACAAUGCCCA